rnacentral:rRNA from 1 species
CAGCCGCCGCGGGAAUACGAAGGUCCCGAGCGUUGUUCGGAAUCACUGGGCGUAAAGGGAGCGUAGGCGGCGUGGUAAGUCAGAUGUGAAAUCCCGGGGCUCAACCCCGGAACUGCAUCCGAUACUGCCGUGCUAGAGGAUUGGAGAGGUAGCUGGAAUUCUUGGUGUAACAGUGAAAUGCGUGGAGAUCAAGAGGAACACUCGUGGCGAAAGCGAGCUACUGGACAAUAUCUGACGCUGAGGCUCGAAGGCCAGGGUAGCGAAAGGGAUUAGAUACCCCUGUAGUCCCUGUCUCUUAUAC